rnacentral:rRNA from 1 species
GACGAACGCUGGCGGCGUGCUUAACACAUGCAAGUCGAACGGAAAGGCCCUGCUUUUGUGGGGUGCUCGAGUGGCGAACGGGUGAGUAACACGUGAGUAACCUGCCCUUGACUUUGGGAUAACUUCAGGAAACUGGGGCUAAUACCGGAUAGGAGCUCCUGCUGCAUGGUGGGGGUUGGAAAGUUUCGGCGGUUGGGGAUGGACUCGCGGCUUAUCAGCUUGUUGGUGGGGGAGUGGCUUACCAAGGCUUUGACGGGUAGCCGGCCUGAGAGGGUGACCGGCCACAUUGGGCCUGAGAUACGGCCCAGACUCCUACGGGAGGCAGCAGUGGGGAAUAUUGCACAAUGGGCGGAAGCCUGAUGCAGCAACGCCGCGUGCGGGAUGACGGCCUUCGGGUUUUAAACCGCUUUCGCCUGUGACGAAGCGUGAGUGACGGUAAUGGGUAAAGAAGCACCGGCUAACUACGUG